rnacentral:rRNA from 1 species
UGGGAAUAUUGCACAAUGGGCGGAAGCCUGAUGCAGCAACGCCGCGUGCGGGAUGACGGCCUUCGGGUUGUAAACCGCUUUCGCCUGUGACGAAGCGUGAGUGACGGUAAUGGGUAAAGAAGCACCGGCUAACUACGUGCCAGCAGCCGCGGUGAUACGUAGGGUGCGAGCGUUGUCCGGAUUUAUUGGGCGUAAAGGGCUCGUAGGUGGUUGAUCGCGUCGGGAGUGUAAUCUUGGGGCUUAACCCUGAGCGUGCUUUCGAUACGGGUUGACUUGAGGAAGGUAGGGGAGAAUGGAAUUCCUGGUGGAGCGGUGGAAUGCGCAGAUAUCAGGAGGAACACCAGUGGCGAAGGCGGUUCUCUGGGCCUUUCCUGACGCUGAGGAGCGAAAGCGUGGGGAGCGAACAGGCUUAGAUACCCUGGUAGUCCACGCUGUAAACGGUGGGUACUAGGUGUGGGGUCCAUUCCACGGGUUCCGUGCCGUAGCUAACGCUUUAAGUACCCCGCCUGGGGAGUACGGCCGCAAGGCUA